UACGUAGGGGGCAAGCGUUGUCCGGAUUUACUGGGCGUAAAGGGCGCGUAGGCGGCCUGCUAAGUCGAACGUGAAAUCCCCGGGCUCAACCCGGGAACUGCGUCCGAUACUGGCAGGCUUGAAUCCGGGAGAGGGAUGUGGAAUUCCAGGUGUAGCGGUGAAAUGCGCAGAUAUCAGGAAGAACACCCGUGGCUAAGGCGGCUCUCUAGUACGGUACUGACGCUGGAGACGCGAAAGCGUGGGGAGCGAACAGG
rnacentral:rRNA from 1 species